UGAUGAGACUCGGGAAUCGCUGUGCUGCUUUGAUGAAAGCUUUUUUCGACCUGAUGACCGUGGGCUUUUUCUUC